AUCUGACUGAAUUGUUGGAAUGGGUCGAGCCGUCCCCACCCUGACGGUGCUGCCCCCCUCCAGUGAGGAGCUGCUGAAGGGGAAGGCCACGCUCAUGUGCCUGGCCAACAAGGGCUUCCCCUCAGACUAGAGUCUGGCCUGGAAGGUGGACGGCAGCAGCAGCAGCAGCUGGGAGGAGAGCAGGAGCCCCGGGGUGCUGGAGAAGGACGGCAAAUACAGCUGGAGCAGCACCCUGAGGCUCCCUGCAGACCAGUGGGAGAAGGUGGGCUCUGUGACCUGUGAGGCCACCCAGGGCUCCCAGACUCCACUCUCAGAGACACUGAGGAGAGACCAGUGUUCCCAGUCCUGACCUGACUCACUGGGACUCUGCUACUGGUUUCACUCUGAUACUGAUCUCAGUCUGCUCUCUGCAACUCUUUCUUUCUGUCUACAGAUUCAUCACAAUUUGAAAGUUCAUUUUGUGUUGCUUGCAGUAAUGCUGAUAUUCUCUGUAUGUUAAAA